UUCUACAGUGUGAUUGUGUGUGAUUGAGCAUGGAGACUCCGUACGAGUUAUUGGAGAAUUUGAUAACCAGGGAACUAGUUAUUUAAAUCAUGACAAUAAUCUUCUUGUUAUACACCCAAACCUACUACUUUCCGGGACUCGGAUCGCUGGUAGUUUCAAUUGUCCUAGACGAGCAGUGUUGGAUGAGAGGUUGAGAGGUGGUGAAACCUCUACUGCAACAUUAACUGGCACCUUGCUGCACCAAAUCUUUCAGGUCCUGCUCCUUAUUUAGUUUCUGUGUUUAGAGUUUUAAUACUAAGAUCAAAUUAGGAGUAGGUUUCUAAAGCCUGUGUAGUUGUGAUGUUAGAAACUCUAUCUUUUAGGCUGGGCUUUUAAGGGAGAAUCUCACAAUAGAGCCGCUUCAGGAAUUUGCAAAGAGUGUUAUUCAAAAAAACAUUCAAGGCAUGUAUGCAUGUGAAGUACAGGAAAAAGAUAUGUGUGAAACCUUGAAUGAUACAAUUCCAAUGAUCUGCAAUUGGAUAAAAUAUUUCCGGGACUCUCAGGUCAGUCUUUUUAUCUCUAAUUAUAGAUAUAAAAUCAAGGGGAAGGACUUGAUCUAUAGUAAGAGAGCAAUAUUUUUAUCUCUAAUUAUAAAUAUACAAUCUAGGGGAAGGACUUGAUCUAUGUAAGAUCUUCCCUUUGCUAAUGCUUUCCCAAAAAUAUACAUGGUUUCUACUUAAGGAAACUAUCAGGUUUGUCAAAGUAGAGGUGUUAUCUGGAAUGAGCUUACGCUCCAACAAAAUUCUGGAGUUGUUGUCAAUCUUAUCAUCUUGUUGCUAUGCACUGAACUUGUUUGGUCUAUGUUUAUUUGGAUUUCUGUUCUUUGGUCAAUUGGUGUUCUGAUCAAGUUUCUAAUUUGUU